GGCACGCGCGUCCCGGCCCAAGCAGUACCAGCAGGCUACCGAGCCCCAACGCUGCAGCGGCGCCAGUUGGGCGGCGGGGGACAGCGCAGAGACUCAUGGCCCCGGGGACUCCGGAGGACAAGGCUCUCGGGACUAGUACCCACACUGCGGCUCUGAGCAAGGCCCAAGCAAGAGGCAAUGGGGCAGUUUGGAAGGAAGUUGAGUGACCUGGAGCCUCCCAGUGUCCCUUGAACUCCUGUGGAACUAUCUGUGAAAUGGAAAGCGUAACUAACAUCUCAUCAUAACUAACAUCUCAUCACACCCUCUGAGGACUGAGGAAAGCCAGAAGCAGUGUUUGAGUUGCCAACCUUUUCCUUUCCCCACCAGCCCUUCGUCUCGAUGCCCCAGGAAACUGAUCUGGUCAGAGAGAUGCCGAGGCUUAGAGCCCAUCUCCACAGAGGACAAGGCUGAGACUCAUGAGAAUCAGGAGUGUCCCCCCCCCCCCCUUGCUGUUGAAGUCUCUCAUUCCUUGGAAAAAUAAAAGCUUUGCCACCUCUGAUAUUUCCUCCUCUUGCACGAAACACAGAGCCAUGACCCGAGCAAGGUCAUUCCAUGAGUCAGGGAUAGGAGCUGGAAAUAGAAUGCAGGCAUUGCGGAUCCCCACUUGUGCCACUCACCCACUCUCCCCGCACCCGCUCGGGACAAGCGAAGAGGCCCAGAGAAACUUCCAGGGUGUCUGUUUGUCAGAAGGGCUCCUGUGUUUAUUCUCAGAGGCAACAUUUCAAGAUUCCUAUUCAAGAGUCACUAGAUGAGGCAUAAAAUACCCAAGGGUAUUAAGAUAUAAUGGAUCUUUGGGAAAACCUAAGGUUCAGGUCGUUGAGAGAGCUCAAGCAGAUAAAGCUGCUACCACGCCCGAUAAACUGAGUUUGACCCCCGGGACCUAGAUGGUGGAAGGAGAGAAGAUGGCUUCUACAAGUUGUCCUCUGACCUACACAGGUACACUGGGUAAUGCGUGCCUACACAUGCACCUAUACACACGGGCACACAAAUACAUAAAUGCAAUUUAAUCUCUUUUAAAUGUUUUAUUAAGUUUGUGUGGAUGUUUUGCCUCUAUGUAUGUCUGUGCAUUACUUGUGGGUCCACUGCCCAAGGAAGUCAGAAGAGGACACGGGGCCCUUAGAAAUGGCCAUUACGGAUGGUUAUGAGCCAUCAUGUGGGUGCCGGGAAUCAAACCCAGCUCCUUCAGAAGAGCAGAGCAGCCAGUGCUCUUAACUGCUGAACCAUCUCUCCAGCUCCAAAUAAAUAUAAUUAAAAAAAUAAUAAUGUAAGGUCUUACUCUGCCUUUCCAAUACCACCUUUCACCAUCUCAAAAAUCCUCAGACCUCCCUAUGCUUUCCGACCUUCAUUUAGACAUCUUUCUGUCUGGUCCUUCUCCCAUCCUUGUCAGUCAUCCAGGAAGUGAGGUCCAGGGAGACGUAUGUAUGGAAGUCCCCUGGGAAUUCCCCAGGUAGGGCCAGGAUUCUGAGAGCACAACCAAUCCAACAGACAGGCUUUCUGCUUUCAUUGCCAGGCUGACAUCUAAAUUAGGCAAAGUCCCAGGCCUUGACUCCUACACAAGAUGAUGCCAGUAUGUCAAAGGCUAUGCUGAAAUCAUAAAAAAUGUGGCUGGUGUUUAGUGAUGUCAUUUGGAUUACUGGUGUGAAUCACUUUUUAAUCCGUGCCUGGCUGCCUGAGUAGGAGGCAUGAGGACAUCCCCUUGUCCCCCAGGGAUGAGAACAUACACUCUCCCUUUUCCUCAGGCAGCUUGAUGCAGAACCUCCUCUGUGCUCUAUGCUCUGUGCUCUGUGUCCCUUACAAAAGGACCAAACACAACUCCUCACCCUUCUGUGCCACUACCACCAGGGGGCGCUAUGUGCUCCUCACACAGGUUCCAGGAGGCAAACAGAAGCACCCGCUAAACACACACACGCGCACACACACACACACACACACACACACACACACACACCAACACUAACACACACACUUUCUUCUCCAGCUCCAGCUGACUUGCAUGGUAAGUGGGCAGCAUCCCUCCACUUCUCUCAGUUGCUUGGUUCGUCUGAACAUGAACAAGUUAAUGGGACUCAAAAUCUGGAGUCAGCCCAUUGGCCUGGCACAAGGAGAUGCAUAUUCUUUGCUCACAGCCAGUGCUCCCAAUGCCAGCCAAGCAUUCAUCAAAUGUGUGGCCUUAGGUGGGGCUGGAGGAAGGUGGGGCUCAUGGCAUCCUAUCUGUUCCAGGGGAAAGCCUGAGUCCCUGGCACCGUCAUCCUAUGAGUAAGAUGUGGUCCAGCAAGCCCUGGUGCUGCCCAUCCCCACCCCCUCUCCACCUGUCCAAAUCUCAUACCCACUGGCAAGACCCCUUCCCCACUCAAGCCAUGCAGCUCUCUGACUGCCACCUGAAGUCUACUCCUGCCCAAC